AUGAACGCCAUCCGGUUCAUGAAAUCCCCAGUAAUUCUUCACUUCAUGCCUUUGGAGGGGGAGAAGGCUUCAUCCAGGUGCUGUGAAGAGCUCUACAACUGGAGUAUCAUUACAGCAGGGAAAGAGCCAGCCCAGGUCCAGGACUUGAUGUCACCUGUACCACUGUGGCUGUUGGGGACAGCAGGAAGACCACCGACUCGGGAGUCAGGGAUCAUGUGUUCCAGUCUGGCAUUGCCACAUCAUUGUGUAACCAUUGUGCACGUGUUUUCCUCUCAGUGGGCCUUGGUCAAUCCACAUCGGUAAGUGUAAAUAAAUUUACAUUUAUUUUGUUUUGUAUUAUUGUGUUUCUGUAAAUAAUACAAACUCCUAGUGGACCUCUUGGCUUUUAGGCCUCCUUCUUAUGAUUCGAUCCUCCUCUUCUGACAAGAAUAUGUAGAUUUUUUUUCCUUUGAGGAAGCACCACUCCUCCAUCCCCAGUCCGUGUGUUUCAGAUGACGCUAACUCCACCCUCAGCUCCAGAUGAAGGCACAUGACUGAGGCUCAGAUGUUCUACAUCUGUAAAAUAAUCCACGUAAUCACAACUAACAUUUAUUGAAUUGAGUGUUUACUAGAAGCAAGACACUGUGCUAGGCUCUUUACCUAUAGCAACUUCUGUGAACUAUACACUGUUACCAGUCCUAUAUUACAGAUGAGACAACUGAGGCACAGCACACAUUACAUAACCAUCCACAGUUAUGCACCUAAGCUCUUAAUUACUGCCUGGACCAAAGACGGAACUUGAGUGCUAAACCUCCUCCACUCACCUCCUCCCCACUGGAAAAGGGAGUGGGUUGUUCUAUCACUGAUUGUAUUUUACUUGCGUUUGAUGUGUGUUCUUUUUAGUAAAUAUUUAAAAAAUUCUAACACAUACAAGUUGUAAAACACAUGUGACAUUUUUCCUGCCCAACUUCCAUACCCCCUUUCUCUGGCUGCAGAACCUCUAGUUUCUGUGGGUGAACCACCUGUCUCCAUUCUUAGUCUUUGGCAUUCUGAAUGGGCUGAUCCUCUCUUCAUGGCCCAUUCAGAUCUAGGCGGUGGGAUGUGACUCAGGUCUGACUAAUCAGAG
rnacentral:lncRNA from 1 species